GGCUCUGGAGUAUCAGCCUAAGUUGAUUGACAAUAAUAAUAAAAUUCCUUUGCAAGAUAUGAACGAACCAGACAGGAUGAUGCAACCUAUUGAUGCUGUAAUUGAUCUUACUGAGACUGAUGCCCAUAGCUACAAAGCAAAAAGCCCACAAAACAAG